AGGAUAGUUUAAUCGGUUAAAACAUUAAUUUCAUGCAUUAAUAAUGAGAAUUCAACUUUCUCUCC
rnacentral:tRNA from 1 species